rnacentral:rRNA from 1 species
CAGCCGCCGCGGUAAUACGAAGGGUGCAAGCGUUACUCGGAAUUACUGGGAGUAAAGCGUGCGCAGGCGGUUUGUUAAGACAGAUGUGAAAUCCCCGGGCUCAACCUGGGAAUGGCAGUGGAUACUGGCAAGCUAGAGUGUGUCAGAGGAUGGUGGAAUUCCCGGUGUAGCGGUGAAAUGCGUAGAGAUCGGGAGGAACAUCAGUGGCGAAGGCGGCCAUCUGGGACAACACUGACGCUGAGGCACGAAAGCGUGGGGAGCAAACAGGAUUAGAUACCCGAGUAGUCCCUGUCUAUUAUAC